UUUGGAAAAAGGCAUUAACUCCAAAAUCCUGGUUUUGAGUUAUUGAGCAAAACGCGUUUGUCGUUAGCAUUUUGUACUGGAAAUGAAUUCUAGUAAAUUUUUUUGGCAAAUAUACUAAACAUAUAAUUAAAAAACAUAUUAAAUAAUUUUCAUGGUGAUUUUUGUUCUUUAACCUUUUUAAAUGGGGAUAAUGCACUAUUCCAAAUUUUAACAGGAGUCAAUGGUGCGUGAAAAAUCUGAAGUUAGGCAUUAACUCCAGUUUUUUCAGUGAAAUGUGUAUCUUACGUAGCCAAAUUACAGUAUUUCUGACAAACAAAUAAUGUAUGCCAGUGUCAAUUAUAUAUUUCACGAAAUUUAGCCCAUGUGGUAGAAGAUUUUUUAAUAUGCCAUUUUUUUUUUAAACCGAAGUAAAGCUAGGCAUUAUGUGCAUUUACAAGCUAUCAUGACUAAUUAACUAUGCGUAAUUGUCUUCUGUGAUUGGUUCAUUAUGAUCUGUUCAUUGUCUGGUGGAGAUAAUUCCUUCUUCCAAAUUAUUCUGCAUUCAUGGAUUGGAGUUAAUGCGUAAAUAUAAUAUUUAUUUCAUAUUUCUGGACAUUUUUGGGGGUAUAUGAUCAAUUCACAUGAUAGAUUACAUCUAUAGGAUGCCAUAGAAACAAAAAUCCAAAAAUCUCAAAAAGUGGAGUUAAUGCCUUUUUCCAAAUUACGGCAGUAUACUCACUUGUAAGGCCACCCACGUAUAAGACGACUGCCGAGUUUGAGAACAUUUUUGGACGAUUUUUAUAUUUCGGAAGUAGGAUGACCGCAGGCGCGGAUGAUCCAGGAUUUUCCAUGACCUUCGCACAGAUAGGGUGGUCAUUGCAGUGGUGGAUACAGAAUUGGUAUGUUAACAUUGCAAUUAAUUAUGUUUGAAGUAUGACUGACCAAUCUAAUUUGAACUACCAGAAUUGAAAGCAAAGCUUCUUAUUGCAUUUGAUGAGAAUUCUUAUGAAAUUGUAUCUUUUUAUGUAAUGUUUAAUAAUGAUUUAUUGUAGUGAAAUUAAAUUAAAUUUAAUGCAUUAAAUUUUACUUAAGAAUAAUAAUGUUCCGCUAGUGUACGAUGCAUGCUCUACUAAUUGCUUUAUAAGUCAAUCGCCUUCUUUUAAUGUUAGGUUUGAUAACCAAAUUUUCAGCAUACUGUGUGCGUUUUUAUAUCUAUCUGUACGUAUGUUGAUUUGUGCUCCUGCAGUAUUCGUUAACUGCAGUACAGAUACGAUGAGUAACUAUAAUUUAUAUUGUGAUAGAAGAACUUGUUUGUAAUGUUAUUUUGAUACAUUCGUCAAAGAAAUAAACCGUUUUUAAAGCAUUCGAGAGAGAUUACAGUCAUGAACUUUUUGGUCUGUGUAUGCAGGUAAAAAUAGUGCGAUGAUUUCAUAACUACGCUAUGUUAUGGCCUAGCCUAGUAAUUGGAGGAGGAGGUCUCGGCGGCCUCCUGCAUGGCUAGUCCUACAUCUAAUUUCGUUCAUCGGAGUCUUUAAAAUAGUUAUAGAAUAUUCCUAUUAAACGUUCAGUUUGUUUAGUUUAUUAGGGUUCAUUUAUUCAUUGAAUUACCUAAUUGUUCAUAAUUAAUAUUGAAUUUGAAGUAACUUUUUUUGGGUUAUAAUUAAAAAUCACGAAAUAGUUUUAAAUUACAAUUCAAUUUUCAUUGCGGUGCGCGAUAUCUUCGCAGUUAAGACAAAAUUAAGUAUAUUUUUUUGCAUACGAACUUAAAAAAAGUCAAGCCAAGCGUCAACUAAUUGAAAAAUUAUGACGUCACGAUUGACUUAUAAAAACUUUUAGUUACACAUUUGCUUUUAUAUGCUACUUACUAAAAUACUUUUUUUACUAAUAUAAUGUAGGUAGGCCUACUGUUGUUAUUACUUGAAUUUUUUAUUUAACACCGAGGGCCGCACCUAAACUUUGAUGUUUCCAGUGAGCUUCCAAAAACCUCCAAGCACUGCUUUUACAUCACUUUAUUUUCAGUUUCGAUGUUACAUUUUAGGUAUGAUUGGUGUCGGACCGUAAAAAAACAAGGUGUUUUCCAUACAAUUUUGAUUGGCGGGCCGCAAACAUAAGGUUUUUAAUUCAUUGUCGCGGGCCGCAAAAAAAUCGCUGACGGGCCACACUUUGUCCACCUGUGGCCUAGAGUAUUAGAUGGUCGAGCAAUUGCUGUAGUUUAAGUUAGCGAUUAUCUAAUUCAACCUUAGAUGCAAGUUUUAGAGGGUUAUGGAAUUUAAGGAUAGCUGCUAAGGAGUAUGUAUUAGGUCGGACAAGCCCGAUGAAGUCGACUAGUCUGUGAGUUCAUUUAUUUCAACAAAAUAAUGCACCAUUAUUUUAUAUGUUUAAAUCGUAAGUGUUGAAAUGUACACUUCAAGAAUCAGUCAUUAUUUCAUUAUAUUUCUUUGUUAUUACAGUUUUUACCCGUUUGAUUGGCAUGAUAAUAAACAUACGUACAAUUUCAAA